rnacentral:rRNA from 1 species
UACGAAGGGGUCUAGCGUUGCUCGGAAUCACUGGGCGUAAAGGGUGCGUAGGCGGGUCUUUAAGUCAGGGGGGAAAUCCUGGAGCUCAACUCCAGAACUGCCUUUGAUACUGAAGAUCUUGAGUUCGGGAGAGGUGAGUGGAACUGCGAGUGUAGAGGUGAAAUUCGUAGAUAUUCGCAAGAACACCAGUGGCGAAGGCGGCUCACUGGCCCGAUACUGACGCUGAGGCACGAAAGCGUGGGGAGCAAACAGG